rnacentral:rRNA from 1 species
UACGUAGGGUGCGAGCGUUGUCCGGAAUUAUUGGGCGUAAAGAGCUCGUAGGCGGUUUGUUGCGUCUAUCGUGAAAAUCUGCAGCUUAACUGUGGGCUUGCGGUGGAUACGGGCAGACUUGAGUUCGGUAGGGGAGACUGGAAUUCCUGGUGUAGCGGUGAAAUGCGCAGAUAUCAGGAGGAACACCGGUGGCGAAGGCGGGUCUCUGGGCCGAUACUGACGCUGAGGAGCGAAAGCGUGGGGAGCGAACAGG